ACUCUACACGUGGGACUUGGUGAUGAAUGUUCACAAGGGUGCAAAGGGGAUCUGUAAUAGCUCAGCUAAAAACAGGAGCGCUUCUGGCCUCCAGAAGUGCACUAAAACCCCAGCACUUGAGGGAGGCCCCAGCCUGAGCCUGGCACAAUGCCCUGAGGAUGUGGCUCACACUUUUCACACACUCUUGAAGCACUGAAGAUCCUGCGACAUCUCUCACCACCCCGGGCUGUUUUAGAUUGGAUUCCCAUCCUCCAUGUUCCUCUAAUGGCAGCCCUGCCUGCCCUCCUGAGUCCCAAGAGUCAGCCAGCACAGGACUUGGGGGCUUACAGGAGCACUGCUCUUUGGAGUCUUCUCUCCUGAGGCCUGACUGAGGUCAGGUUCCUUCAAGAAUUUGAUGAGACCAUCCAUCUUUUUCAGGCCCCCCCCCACCCUCAGUUCUCUUGGGGAAAGGUGCAUCUUCCCCCAGUAUCUGGAGAAUUCUGACAGGUGGAUAUGGGAUCCCAGCAGAACAUCUAAGGGAAAAGGCUAGCAGGGGAUCUAGGACUGAAACUCAGGAAAGAGGACAAGGUAAGGCUAAUCAUUGUUACCACCAAUUGAGUCCUUUCUGUGUGCUGGAUAUUGUGCCAACUAAGCACUUUAUAUGCACCUCAAUUCACAGAUGAGGAAUUAAGGCUCACAAAUUCAAGUAACUUUCCCAAGUUUACACAAUCAGAAAGUAGUGGAAGAUUCAAACACAGGCCAUUAGGAUUCUAGAACCUAAGUUCUUAACCACUAUAUUCUCAUUUAGGAGUCAAAAAAACCAAAAACCAAAAAACAAAAAAAA
rnacentral:lncRNA from 1 species